rnacentral:rRNA from 1 species
UACGGAGGGGGCAAGCGUUAUUCGGAAUCAUUGGGCGUAAAGGGCGCGUAGGCGGCUUGGCAAGUCGAAGGUGAAAUCCCUCGGCCUAACCGAGGAACUGCCUUUGAAACUGCUUGGCUUGAGGCCGGGAGAGGGUAGCGGAAUUCCCAGUGUAGCGGUGAAAUGCGUAGAUAUCCGGAGGAACACCGGUGGCGAAGGCGGCUUCCUGGACCGACACUGACGCUGAGGCGCGAAAGCUAGGGGAGCAAACGGG